rnacentral:rRNA from 1 species
UACAGAGGUCUCAAGCGUUGUUCGGAUUCAUUGGGCGUAAAGGGUGCGUAGGUGGCGCCGUAAGUCGGGUGUGAAAUUUCGGAGCUUAACUCCGAAACUGCAUUCGAUACUGCGGUGCUUGAGGACUGGAGAGGAGACUGGAAUUCAUGGUGUAGCAGUGAAAUGCGUAGAGAUCAUGAGGAAGACCAGUGGCGAAGGCGGGUCUCUGGACAGUUACUGACGCUGAGGCACGAAGGCCAGGGGAGCAAACGGG